AAUGUACUCCCUCCGUCCGGAAUUACUUGUCACGGAAAUGGAUAAAAAUGGAUGUAUCUAGAACUAAAAUAUGUCUAGAUACAUUCAUUCAUUCGACAAGUAUUUCCGGACGGAGGGAGUAACAA
rfam:Triticum aestivum genome assembly, contig: Triticum_aestivum_CS42_TGACv1_scaffold_180373_2DS